CACAAAAAAAAAAAAAAUCUAUGGAGAAGCCCUUGGUUAGAUACUCCUGCUACAUAUGGCAGCAUUGCUGCUCCAUAUGGCGUAACACCAAGACCUAGCCCAUGAACUAGAACACGGGGUAACAGGACUUUACCGGGAUUAGAACCCGGGGGGAAGCGCUUGCUACGCAGGCUCUCUACCUCUAGGCUACACCAUCUCCUAAGGUUUCGCCUAUGCUUUUUACCAGACAUGCUUCCUAAUACUAAUGAUUUCUUCAGACGGGGCUAGCGAUAACGAUAUCGUUAUUCUCACAUAAUAAACUAGAUCAUUUUAAUACUCUAUUUAUAUUACACUACUCUGGACACAUAAAUAUAUAAAAAUGUAUUUACUCUCUUUUAUUCUAUUAUAUACUCUGAUUGAAUAAGAAACUUGUUUUACACAUCGAGCGCAGAGCUACUGCCGAAGAAGACAGCUGAAUAAAAGCCAAGUUACAUUAACCCCUCACACGCCGAUUGAUCGGCUGCAUCCAGAAGACACAGCGAGACUGAACCUGGCUCCAUCUGGAUGACAGCGGGGGACACGACGAGGAGACACAGGCUGAAAUUUCAUAAAAAAUGGGCUUGCUGGAUCCACUUUACAGGUCCUGCAGAAUUCCACAAUUCUUUAAAUCCUCUACCUUGACUUAUCCUGGGACAGAUUCCUUUCAAGAACAUUCACGUUAUUAUUUUCAACUCAGUAAAACAUAUACUACCACUCCCUUAUGUACCCCGGUUCUCCCCUCGUUAUUCUCACAUAAUAAACUAUAUCAUUUUAAUACUCUAUUUAUAUUACACUACUCUGGAUACAUAAAUAUAUAAAAAUGUAUUUAUUCUAUUAUAUACUCUGAUUGAAUAAGAAACUUGUUUUACACAUUGACUAUGUGGAUCUUCUCUUAUACCGUAUUUGCAUUAUUCUCUAUUGUAUGGAUUUAUUGUAAAUCUAUUGUAUGGAUUUAUUGUAAAUCUUUAUGUUCAUUUCAUGUAAAAUGAUAAUACUUAAUAAAAACAUUGUAACAAAAAAAAAAAAUCAUAGGACCUACCCGGGAUUAGAACCCGGGGUCAAGCGCUUGCUAGGCAGGCUCUCUACCUCUAAGCUACACCGUCUUCUAAGCUUUAGGCCAUGCUUUGGAUAAUCAUAACAUAGUAUCGUAAUCGCUAGCCCCGUCUGAAGCAAUUAUUAGUAUCUCUUUUUACCAGACAUGCUUCCUAAUACUAAUGAUUUCUUCAGACGGGGAUAGCGAUAACGAUAUCGUUAUUCUCACAUAAUAAACUAGAUCAUUUUAAUACUCUAUUUAUAUUACACUACUCUGGAUACAUAAAUAUAUAAAAAUUUAUUUACUCUCUUUUAUUCUAUUAUAUACUCUGAUUGAAUAAGAAACUUGUUUUACACAUUGACUAUGUGGAUCUUCUCUUAUACCUUAUUUGCAUUAUUCUCUAUUGUAUGGAUUUAUUGUAAAUCUAUUGUAUGGAUUUAUUGUAAAUCUUUAUGUUCAUUUCAUGUAAAAUGAUAAUACUUAAUAAAAACAUUGUAAAAAAAAAAAAUAUGGAGAAGCCCUGGGUCACAUAUUCCUACCGCAUAUGGCAUUACACCAUAUCUGAAGCAAUCAUUAGUAUCUCUUUUUACCAGACAUGCUUCCUCCGUCCUCUAGGUGUCGCCCCAUCAUGUCAGCACACGUCUUUUCCGCAAGAGGCAGAGAUCCGGAACAUCAUGUGACCUACUCGCAGCCUGCCUCUUGCGGAAAAGACGUGUGCUGACAUGAUGACAUAUGGCUGUUUUUGUUUUUUUUUUGUUAUCCCCGUACAUACCGUAUUUUCACCGCUGCUUCCGGAAACUUGUUUUACACAUCGAGCGCAGAGCUACUGCCGAAGAAGACAGCUGAAUAAAAGCCAAGUUACAUUAACCCCUCACACGCCGAUUGAUCGGCUGCAUCCAGAAGACACAGCGAGACUGAACCUGGCUCCAUCUGGAUGACAGCGGGGGACACGACGAGGAGACACAGGCUGAAAUUUCAUAAAAAAUGGGCUUGCUGGAUCCACUUUACAGGUCCUGCAGAAUUCCACAAUUCUUUAAAUCCUCUACCUUGACUUAUCCUGGGACAGAUUCCUUUCAAGAACAUUCACGUUAUUAUUUUCAACUCAGUAAAACAUAUACUACCACUCCCUUAUGUACCCCGGUUCUCCCCUCGUUAUUCUCACAUAAUAAACUAUAUCAUUUUAAUACUCUAUUUAUAUUACACUACUCUGGAUACAUAAAUAUAUAAAAAUGUAUUUAUUCUAUUAUAUACUCUGAUUGAAUAAGAAACUUGUUUUACA